GAUGGCUCAAUGGGUAAGAGUGCUGGCUACUCUUCAGAGGACCUGGGUUCGAUUCCCAGCAUCC
rnacentral:tRNA from 1 species